AGAAUCAACGCUGGCGGCGUGCCUAACACAUGCAAGUCGAACGAGAAAGUGGAGCAAUCCAUGAGUAAAGUGGCGACCGGGUGAGUAACACGUGACUAACCUACCUUCGAGUGGGGGAUAACCUCGGGAAAACCGGGGCUAAUACCGCAUAACAUCUUUGAAGUGGAAAUUUCGGAGAUCAAAGGAGCAAUUCGCUGGAAGAGGGGGUCGCGGCUGAUUAGCUAGUUGGCGGGUAACGGCCCACCAAGGCUUAGAUCGGUA
rnacentral:rRNA from 1 species